AGGAGGAAGCCCCGGCUAACUACGUGCCAGCAGCCGCGGUAAUACGUAGGGGGCAAGCGUUGUCCGGAAUUAUUGGGCGUAAAGGGCGCGUAGGCGGAUAGUUAAGUCCGGUGUGAAAGAUCAGGGCUCAACCCUGAGAGUGCAUCGGAAACUGGUUAUCUUGAGGACAGGAGAGGAAAGUGGAAUUCCACGUGUAGCGGUGAAAUGCGUAGAUAUGUGGAGGAACACCAGUGGCGAAGGCGACUUUCUGGACUGUAACUGACGCUGAGGCGCGAAAGCGUGGGGAGCAAACAGGAUUAGAUACCCUGGUAGUCCACGCUGUAAACGAUGAGUGCUAGGUGUAGAGGGUAUCGACCCCUUCUGUGCCGCAGUUAACACAAUAAGCACUCCGCCUGGGGAGUACGGCCGCAAGGUUGAAACUCAAAAGAAUUGACGGGGGCCCGCACAAGCGGUGGAGCAUGUGGUUUAAUUCGACGCAACGCGAAGAACCUUACCAGGGCUUGACAUCUACAGAAUCCUUAGGAAACUAGGGAGUGCCUUUCGGGGAGCUGUAAGACAGGUGGUGCAUGGUUGUCGUCAGCUCGUGUCGUGAGAUGUUGGGUUAAGUCCCGCAACGAGCGCAACCCCUGUGUUUAGUUGCUAACGGGUAAGGUCGAGCACUCUAGACAGACUGCCGGUGAUAAACCGGAGGAAGGUGGGGAUGACGUCAAAUCAUCAUGCCCCUUAUGUUCUGGGCUACACACGUGCUACAAUGGCCAGUACAGACGGACGCGAAGCCGCGAGGUGGAGCAAAUCCGAGAAAGCUGGUCUCAGUUCGGAUUGCAGGCUGCAACUCGCCUGCAUGAAGUCGGAAUCGCUAGUAAUCGCAGGUCAGCAUACUGCGGUGAAUACGUUCCCGGGCCUUGUACACACCGCCAU
rnacentral:rRNA from 1 species